rnacentral:rRNA from 1 species
AUUGAACGCUGGCGGCAUGCCUUACACAUGCAAGUCGAACGGUAACAGGUCUUCGGAUGCUGACGAAUGGCGAACGGGUGAGUAAUACAUCGGAACGUGCCUAGUAGUGGGGGAUAACUACUCGAAAGAGUGGCUAAUACCGCAUGAGAUCUACGGAUGAAAGCAGGGGAUCGCAAGACCUUGUGCUACUAGAGCGGCCGAUGGCAGAUUAGGUAGUUGGUGGGAUAAAAGCCUACCAAGCCGACGAUCUGUAGCUGGUCUGAGAGGACGAUCAGCCACACUGGGAAUGAGACACGGCCCAGACUCCUACGGGAGGCAGCGGUGGGGAAUUUUGGACAAUGGGCGAAAGCCUGAUCCAGCAAUGCCGCGUGCAGGAUGAAGGCCUUCGGGUUGUAAACUGCUUUUGUACGGAACGAAAAGCCCCGGGUUAAUACCCUGGGGUCAUGACGGUACCGUAAGAAUAAGCACCGGCUAACUACGUGCCAGCCGCCGCCGUAA